ensembl:lincRNA
CUGUUCUGAUCCACCAGUAGGGGACACUAAAGAGCGGGAACGGACCUGGAGGCGGGGCUUCAGCUCGGAGGUUUGGGAUACAAUGGCGCCUCACCCUGACCGGAAAAGUGUACCUUCGGCGCCGCAGGGGACUCCGAAUACUUCGGAGAUGAACCGUGACCCGGAGUCCUUGUCUGGCCUCACCGCCCCAGCGGCGGCUGGGCAGUGGCCCUGUUCCUGCCGGACCCACCAAUAUCAAGCUCAAUUGCGUCCCCAAGGAUUACAUGACUGCGUGUUCCUUUCCUGGCUGACAUCCCGCUUCUCUGACUUCAUCGCUGAAUUACAAAAGGAUCUUCAUUGGUUUGUCCCUCAAGGUAACACGGUGAAAGAGGUCCUUCUCUGGAUCGAGGACCUCUGUUUCCAAGGCACUCUUUCUGACUUUUCAUCUGAUGAGAUUUGCUUGUUAACAUUCUUCCUCCUGUGCUGGUUAACGCUCCCACCCCCACUCCACUUUCAUGAUAUACCCCUAUGUUAACUUGCCAUCCAGGCUUUCUAGUCUUUUACAUAGCCCUAACCCUCGUUUGGGCAAUUGGCAAUUGGGUUUUUUUUUUUUUUUUUUCUUUUUCUCCUGAAGAUUUGUGUGACACACAAAAAUUCGCCUUCACUCUUCUCUUCCUUCUCCUGGCAGGAUUUAUUGCUGUUCCAUCAUGUACCUCUCUCUUCAGUCCCUAACUGAGCUCUUCUUCCUUUACUCCUUCCUAAAGUCCCAUACCUACAGGCCUGAUAGGUUGAUAAUUUCCCUUGUCAUCAUUAUCCCAAGUGGAAAGACACUGCCCAGCUGUGUACCUAACUGUGAACGCCCUGGCACCACCUGGGUGAUAGACCAUAGGCUGGGAGGAAUUAAAUCCCUACAUUAUUGGACAGGCACUUUCGUGUCAUAUACCUAUAUGAACUCACAAUGUUACAAGACCACUCUGUACUUACAGUGGCCAAGCCUACCAUAUGGGGAAGAUUACAGACUCAGAUACUUAUUACUGCAGUGGGUUCAUUGGCUUGCUGGACACUGACUACCCACUGAGGAAUGUCAGAUGAAGGGACUGUACAAGAUCAGUCACGAAAACAACAGCUAAAAGAGGUAGAAAAACAACUCAUCAGAAGCUCUUAAGACACCUCCCUCAUAUAAGAGCAUUGAUGUGUCUUCCUUAAAAAAACAGCAGUUGAGACACAUAAAAGGCUCCUGCACCUCUUUAAUACCACCCUGCUUAGCUUGCCAGGCAACCAAAUUGAGUGCUAGAUGUGCCUGUCACCUCGAUUCCAGCCAUAUGUCCCCAUACCAAUUCCCCUUAACUGGACUAUCCCUGUCCCUGAAAAGAUCACAACAAUAUUAGGUCCCUUUGCAACUCAAUUAAAACCCUCCACACGGUGAUUGGACCUGUAUAAAUUCAUCCAUCAUAAAUCAGUACAACUCUACCCCUUGUGCUGAAGUUAUCCAUGUUCCUAAGUCAGGCAUAACCUGUCUCCCUAAGGGUUUGUUUUACCUCUGUGACUCCCAAGCCUCUUGCUGUCUCAACUUAACCCCUUCUUCCCGCUGUUAUGUAGGCUUCCCUAGCCUUCCCCUCACAGUUUACACAGAAACCCAGUUAUUACAGCAAGUUCUGCCCUCACAACAGCCACCUAUCCACUAUCUCAAGAAGCACGUUCUCCCAAUACUUCCCUUUCUGAUGGGAGCUGAUAUUCUGGUGGGGAUUGGCACUGGGAUGGCGGGAAUCUCAACAUCAACACAUUUCUAUUAUUCCCUAUCCCAAGAGCUAAAUGAAGAUACGGAAAAGGUAGCUGACUUUUUAGUCAUCCUGCAGUCCCAAAUCAAUUCGCUGGUAGGUAUGGUACUCCAGCAUAGAUGGGCCCUGGACGUAAUAAGAGCAGAAAGAGGAGGGGAAGAAUAUUGCUGCUUUGUAAACCAAUCUGGCAUUGUUGGAGACAAGGUAAAGGAACUCAGGGAGUGCAUAGAAAAAUGUAGAUAAGACCUAGACCAGCUGUAUUCUCUGCCAGGAUACUUUGACCAAUGGCUUCCAUGGCUUCUUCCUUUCCUGGGUCCCCUCACCAUUCUCUGCAUAAUCCUACUGUUUGGAUCCUGUCUGUUCUGUUGUUUUCAAGAUUUCUUGCAGGAGUAUAUGUGGGCCUUUACCAACCAGACAGUCGGCGAAGUCAUCGUGGCCAGUUACCAGCCCCUUGCCAAGGAGGACCACACCACUGUCACAGGAAACUCUGUCACCCCAUACCCCUUAUCAACGCCCCUUGUCAGCAGGAAGCAGUUACAGAAGAAGAGACCUUCACCCCUAUUCCAUAAUAACAAGAGACUGGGAUGGUAGAGUUCCCUGCUAGAUAAAAUGGCCCUACUCCACAUUCUACAUGGCUCUUCCUGGCAGAUAAUAAAUUACUCUGAGGAAACAAUGGCCCAUUUUUCCCACCUUCCCACCUGGAAAUCCAAAUCUGCCAAUGGAUUGAAACCUCACCUCUGGCUGCAGCUAAACAUGUACCUCCACUAUGCUCACUCCCCUUAUGACUCCUUGUUUAUAUAAAAUCUCACCCAGCCAGCCCCUGCCCUGCUGCUCUCACUGUUGUCCGAGACAGCCCGGCAUCCCCUCCUGUAUACCCUGUACCCCUAAUAAAAGCCUAGUUUCUGUUGUU